rnacentral:rRNA from 1 species
UACGGGGGGGGCAAGCGUUGUUCGGAAUUACUGGGCGUAAAGGGCUCGUAGGCGGCCAACUAAGUCAUACGUGAAAUCCCCCGGCUUAACCGGGGAACUGCGUCUGAUACUGGAUGGCUUGAGUUCGGGAGAGGGAUGCGGAAUUCCAGGUGUAGCGGUGAAAUGCGUAGAUAUCUGGAGGAACACCGGUGGCGAAGGCGGCAUCCUGGACCGAUACUGACGCUGAGGAGCGAAAGCGAGGGGAGCAAACGGG